rnacentral:sRNA from 1 species
AGUUUGCGUGAGGGAUAGCAGUGUAAAUCCUUUUUGGAAACUUUUUCUGUUUCCAAAAAGAUUGGAACGUAUAGCCCGACCCAUU